rnacentral:lncRNA from 1 species
UUUUUUCAAAUUUCGCAAUAUACAGUCCUCAUUUUCAAAUUCCGUAACAUAUAAUCAUCUUUUUGAAAAACACUAAAAGUUGCGGUCCUAUUUUAACAAUUAGCUCUCUGACAAAGGCAUUCUAAGUCAAAAAAAAAUGGAGAAGUAAAAUAGGAAUACAAAUUUCAAAUAAUAAAAAAAGAAAUUAAAAAAAAAAUUGCACUCGAUUGCCG